rnacentral:rRNA from 1 species
AUGACCUCGAAACCCACCCUACAGUACGGCGGGUCCUCCGGUGCCGCCGGCCCCUACGCUGGCCUCGACGAGCAGCCGUUCCAUCGGGGGCCCCCUGUGUCCACCGAACCGGCGCCGCCCCCCUCAUUGCUCCGCACCGACACGCCAUACUCCCACGGCGGUCAUACUCAUACACCGCCGCGUUUCGCCAAGCUCGACUUCGCCACUUACGACGGCACCGAGGAUCCCCUCAACUGGCUGAACCAAUGUGAGCAGUUUUUCCGGGGGCAACGUACACUCGCGUCGGACCGCACCUGGCUCGCCUCAUAUCACCUUCGGAGCGCCGCACAGACAUCGUAUUACGCCCUCGAGCAGGACGAGGGCGGCAUGCCCCCAUGGGAGCAAUUUCGCGAGCUCUGCCUCCUUCGCUUCGGGCCGCCAAUGCGCGGGAGCCGGCUGGCGGAGCUAGGCCGCCUCCCCUUCACCUUCACGGUGCAGCACUUCGCCGACCGCUUCCAGGCCCUGGCGUGCCAUGCGCCCGGCUUGACGGCUCGUCAGCGGGCCGUGCUCUUCGUCGGCGGUCUACCAGAUCAUAUCCUUGUGGACAUGGAGCUUCGGGGACCCCAGGACCUCCAGACGGCGAUGUACUACGCCCGCGCCUUCGAGCGUCGCACGCAGGCCUUGCAGCAGGCGGCACCGUCUCGGUGGGGGCCGCCACCGGCGCCGCUUAGCGCUACAGCCGACGGGAGGGGAGCAACUCCGGGUCACCGUGGCUAA